rnacentral:rRNA from 1 species
GAUGAACGCUAGCGGCAGGCUUAAUACAUGCAAGUCGAGGGGUAGCAAGAUUGUAGCAAUACAAUUGUUGACGACCGGCAAACGGGUGCGGAACACGUACACAACCUUCCUACAAGUGGGGAAUAGCCCAGAGAAAUUUGGAUUAAUACCCCGUAACAUAGCGAUGUGGCAUCACAUUGCUAUUGUAGCUUCGGCGCUUGUUGAUGGGUGUGCGGCUGAUUAGAUAGUUGGCGGGGUAACGGCCCACCAAGUCUACGAUCAGUAGCUGAUGUGAGGGCAUGAUCAGCCACACGGGCACUGGGACACGGGCCCGACUCCUACGGGAGGCAGCAGUAAGGAAUAUUGGACAAUGGACGCAAGUCUGAUCCAGCCAUGCCGCGUGAAGGAUUAAGGUCCUCUGGAUUGUAAACUUCUUUUAUAAGGGACGAAAAAAGGUCUUUCUAGAUCGUCUGACGGUACCUUAUGAAUAAGCACCGGCUAACUCCGUGCCAGCCGCCGCCGUAAGAC